AAAAAGCAGGGAUGAUUAAAAGUUCAAACCAACGGUCCCUAGAAAGAUAUCACAAGUUUGCAUUACCUCAUAGCAAGGUGCCCCAUCUGGCAACAAUCAAUCAAUACCGAUAGCACAAGUUCGCAUUACCUCAUACCUGGACCUACAUGAACUAUAGACCCAUCGCCCAUUCAGCAGUAAACCAAUAACUGUUUUGGGUAUGCUGUAGCAGAUAGGGGCAGCACAAAAUACAAACUAGAUUGAUAGUUUGCAAUCCUAGCCAGUGAAACAACCCCUGCGUAAGUAGAUUCCACCAAACAACAUCAUCUGCUUUGUGAAGGGUAGCGGGAACAAUGCCGACAUCCAAAGAUAAAUACUCUAUUGAUCGACAUGAAUCAUGUUUGUACCACCAAAUCAUGAUAUCCAAGUCAGAAUGCAGCCUCAAACG
rnacentral:lncRNA from 1 species